rnacentral:rRNA from 1 species
UCCUGAUACAGGGAGGUAGUGACAAUAAAUAACAAUACGGGGCGCUUUCGCGUCUUGUAAUUGGAAUGAGUACAAUUUAAAUCCCUUAACGAGGAUCAAUUGGAGGGCAAGUCUGGUGCCAGCAGCCGCGGUAAUUCCAGCUCCAAUAGCGUAUAUUAAAGUUGUUGCAGUUAAAAAGCUCGUAGUUGGAUUUCUGGUCGGAGCGACCGGUCGGCGUCCUUUGUGGCGUGUGCACUGUUGUCGGCUCCGUCCAUCCUAGUGGGAAGGCGCGUGGGCAUUCAUUUGUUCGCGCGUGGCCCCGCUACGUUUACUGUGAAAAAAUUAGAGUGUUUAAAGCAGGCGUUCGCUGUGAAUACAUUAGCAUGGAAUAAUAAGAUAGGACUUUGGUGGUCUAUUUUGUUGGUUUGCACACCAAGGUAAUGAUUAAUAGGGAUAGUUGGGGGUAUUCGUAUUUAAUUGUCAGAGGUGAAAUUCUUGGAUUUAUGAAAGACGAACUACUGCGAAAGCAUUUACCAAAGAUGUUUUCAUUAAUCAAGAACGAAAGUUAGGGGAUCGAAGAUGAUUAGAUACCAUCGUAGUCUUAACCAUAAACUAUGCCGACUAGGGAUUGGUGGUCGUUCUUUAUGACUCCAUCAGCACCUUAUGAGAAAUCAAAAUCUUUGGGUUCCGGGGGG